AACCAUCUCGAGAAAUAAUUGCUCAUAUCUAUUUGUUUUACAUCAUGACAACUUAUUUCAUCAAUGCUUACUGUUAACCAAAGUUGUUUUCUAUUUAUUUUUUUAUUCAUUUGAUUUAUUUUGCGUAAAUUUACACUGUUAUCACUGGAUUAAAAAAUGUUUACAUUUUAAGAACGUGGAGGUAGUCAAAAUUGACCCCCAAUAUUUCCUUUGUCGUGGACCGACAUCAAAAUUUUAUUGUCUAGUCUAAUGUAUAUAUGAAUGAUCUAUGUUAGGAUAUACAAUGUUUUAUAUGUCGCUCCUUAUUUAAUAUAGUAAAAGCACCCCAGAUUUUUUAUCAUAAUUCUAUCAACAAUUAGCAUGUGCUCUGGCCUACUAUUGCAUAUAUUUGACAUAAAACAAAGGUUUAAUGUUUCUAUACUGUUUGUGUUUUGCUGUCCAUGCAAUCAUCAUAUAAGUUGAAAAGGGGAAGGGAUUAAACCCCCAGUGUAUUUAUUUUGUUUUAUUAUGAUUCCCCUAGCUGGUCCCUUAAUUUCCUUCCACUUUACCAAGCAUAAUAUUUACAUGAUAGCGUGAGUCUAACAUGUAAUUUUCAUGAAGGCUUGUGGAAGUGAAUCCCACCACUAUACAGAUGUUUAGCAGUUAGAGGUGGUGCUACUUUGGCUUUUCCAUCGUUCAUUGCAUAAAUUUCAUAAAAUUUACCAGGAUACCGAAAACAAAUCCUCUGUAUUAAAGACAUGAUGGUCAGCCAAAAGACAGCAUGGAAGCCCAACAGGAACAACCCCUCUACAGCCCAUUUAUAAGGUCUGAAGUGUACCAAUGUACCAGUUUCUCUUUGACCUGUGCUAACUCUGGUAACCCUGCCUUUGUCAAGGACACAUGUACUUGUCGCUAUCCCGAGGGUCUGGAUCUCUCUAUCGGAUGUCCGACUCAUUUUGAUGGUGGAUCGAAUGAUUUCAACAAAAUGGCCGUCUGACACCUUUACCAGAUUAAGUACCUGGAUACAUGUAACUGGCUGUCCCAGAGGGUUUUAUGAAGGCAGUUUUACACAUCAUAUUAAAGACACCAGGAUGGACCACACAAGUUCCACAUUUAAUGCUGACAUCAUUUCAAAGCCCACCUCUACAUUUUACAAAUUUUGUGCUUAGAAGAAAACGGAAGAAAAUAGAAUUUUGCCAAGCUGGCCUGCAGGAAAAUAUUGUAUCUACCGCCAAGGAGGGGUUUGUCCCAUUGGCUUCAGUGGUGGAUAUAUACAGUAUGAUGACACCAUGAAUCCAUAGCAUUCAGAUAUUCUCGGCAUUCUUCCUGAAGGUGACUUCACGGCUGACAGAGGUUCUAUUUCUGUUGUUGCGGUGACUGAUCUACAUCAUCUGGUUAUCCUACCCUUAAAGGAGCUGUUUAUCUUAUUUCCAGACACCUCUGCUUGACAGCAAGUCGCAGGAAUGCAAAGUUUUGAUGGCAAUGCAGAGUCAAGAUAUUGUGACAAAGACAUGCCAGCUUGAAGAAGACCAUCCAGUGUUCAUGGUGUUCUACUCCAUUUUUCAGAAUUAUGUGUCAGAUUGAAAUUCAUCUUAUGGUGCACAAAACAAUCAGGAUAUUCUUCUGGAUCUAAUCCAAAGUAUUGGCAGAACCAAAGAAUACCUGAUAGUCUGCAAAUGGAGUGAUCAUUCUGAUUGGAUGAACCAGGCAACACUGAUUAUCUCAAGAAAUUUUAGGCUAGAGACUCCAUCUUCAUUCAUAAAUGAUUGAUGU